GCCCCUGAGAAGGAAGAAAAACAAAGCGAUUUCACUUUCUGAAGCAGUUAUCCGCCGAUCCCAUAUCUGCAUCUUAGAGGAAUACCGGGGUUAUGCUGUCUCUUCAAAACUCACUUGGAUAAAAAGAAUUCUGAAAUUAACCUGCCAAGAUGAUGAGCCACUAGUGGGGAUUCUAUGACAUUCAAGUGGCUGAUGGAAGACUGCAAGAGAGCUGUGAUCAGCAGAGCGUCUGCAAACUGACUGAGCCUGUGUGGGCCAGAAUGACCUUUUCUGUUGAAAAGACAGAGUCUUGAUACGAAUGCUUCCUCUUCUGGUGCCUUCAAGUCUCAUUUCAGAAAAUCACCCAGGAGAGCCGUCCUUCGCCCACUCCAAUCCGGCUUUCCUUCGAGAAGAUGGUGAACUACUCUUCCCGUAGGAGCCUGUACCUCGCUCUUCACCGAAAGCAGCACGGCGAAGCGGAUAGAGCGCGGGCCUGGGAGUUAGAAAGUCAUGGGUUCCAAUCCCGGUUCCACCACUAUUCUGCUGUGCUA